AUUGAACGCUGGCGGCAGGCCUAACACAUGCAAGUCGAGCGGAUGAAGGGAGCUUGCUCCUGGAUUCAGCGGCGGACGGGUGAGUAAUGCCUAGGAAUCUGCCUGGUAGUGGGGGAUAACGUCCGGAAACGGGCGCUAAUACCGCAUACGUCCUGAGGGAGAAAGUGGGGGAUCUUCGGACCUCACGCUAUCAGAUGAGCCUAGGUCGGAUUAGCUAGUUGGUGGGGUAAAGGCCUACCAAGGCGACGAUCCGUAACUGGUCUGAGAGGAUGAUCAGUCAAACUGGAACUGAGACACGGUCCAGACUCCUACGGGAGGCAGCAGUUGGGAAUAUUGGACAAUGGGCGAAAGCCUGAUCCAGCCAUGCCGCGUGUGUGAAGAAGGUCUUCGGAUUGUAAAGCACUUUAAGUUGGGAGGAAGGGCAGUAAGUUAAUACCUUGCUGUUUUGACGUUACCAACAGAAUAAGCACCGGCUAACUUCGUG
rnacentral:rRNA from 1 species